rnacentral:rRNA from 1 species
UACGUAGGGAGCAAGCGUUGUCCGGAAUCAUUGGGCGUAAAGCGCGCGUAGGUGGCUUCGUAAGUCCGUUGUGAAAGUCAAAGGCUCAACCUUUGAAUGCCGAUGGAUACUGCGGAGCUAGAGUACGGGAAGAGGCGAGUGGAAUUCCUGGUGUAGCGGUGGAAUGCGCAGAUAUCAGGAGGAACACCAAUAGCGAAGGCAGCUCGCUGGGACGUACUGACACUAAGGCGCGAAAGCGUGGGGA